AUUGAACGCUGGCGGCAGGCCUAACACAUGCAAGUCGAGCGGAUGAAGGGAGCUUGCUCCUGGAUUCAGCGGCGGACGGGUGAGUAAUGCCUAGGAAUCUGCCUGGUAGUGGGGGAUAACGUCCGGAAACGGGCGCUAAUACCGCAUACGUCCUGAGGGAGAAAGUGGGGGAUCUUCGGACCUCACGCUAUCAGAUGAGCCUAGGUCGGAUUAGCUAGUUGGUGGGGUAAAGGCCUACCAAGGCGACGAUCCGUAACUGGUCUGAGAGGAUGAUCAGUCACACUGGAAGUGAGACACGGUCCAGACCCCUACGGGAGGCAGCAGUGGGGAAUAUUAGACAAUGGGCGAAAACCUGAUCCAGCCAUGCCGCGUGUGUGAAGGAGGUCUUCGGAUUGUAAAGCACUUUAAGUUGGGAGGAAGGGCAGUAAGUUAAUACCUUGCUGUUUUGACGUUACCAACAGAAUAAGCACCGGCUAACUUCGUG
rnacentral:rRNA from 1 species